GUAGGUGGCAAGCGUUGUCCGGAAUUAUUGGGCGUAAAGCGCGCGCAGGCGGUCCUUUACGUCUGAUGUGAAAGCCCACGGCUCAACCGUGGAGGGUCAUUGGAAACUGGGGGACUUGAGUACAGAAGAGGAAAGCGGAAUUCCACGUGUAGCGGUGAAAUGCGUAGAGAUGUGGAGGAACACCAGUGGCGAAGGCGGCUUUCUGGUCUGUAACUGACGCUGAGGCGCGAAAGCGUGGGGAGCAAACAGGGAUUAGAUACCCUGGUAGUCCACGCCGUAAACGAUGAGUGCUAAGUGUUAGGGGGUUUCCGCCCCCUUAGUGCUGCAGCUAACGCAUUAAGCACUCCGCCUGGGGAUACGGCCGCAAGGCUG
rnacentral:rRNA from 1 species